GGAAAAAUGGUUCAGUGGUCUUAAGAUAACAGCUUUGCCUUCAGAGGAAGCAUUACUGAUCUAGAUUCUUGUAUUUUGUAGGAUCCAGUACUACACCACCUACAGACAAGCGUACUGCAUGGAACAACAGCCCGUCUACAAGUGCUGCCCUGGUUGGAGCCAGUGGGACAAUGAACCUGGCUGCCUAUGCUGCGGUGGGAACAUGUUUCAAUGGAAGGAGGUGCUCAGACCGUGAGGCCAGCAGAGCCAGUGUUCAGAGGGUUUUCAAGGCCCCCACUGUCAAUAUGUAAUCUUGUGCUGUUUCCAAGCUUAGGGAAGCUGACACAGUUUGAAAGGACAAUAUUCAUCCGUCAGACUAUGGGUGCUGCUUUUGCAUCUUUUACACAUAAUUGUCAAAAAAUCUUAUUAAUAUCCAACUAUGGGCCAAUGCAUGAAAAUAUAUUUGGAACAUUGCAGAAAAGAUUCAGAGACAAACAGGAACCCUCAUUUUUGACCUCAAUUUACUGCUAUCCCACACAAAUUUGGUAUUCUCAAUUUCUGAAGAAAUUAUCUGUGUCACACAUGUAGACUUACGGUCCAGAGGUUAUAGGAAAUGUCACUUUCUAUUAAAAAGGAACCUACCUCAUACCUGGCUUUGUGCUUUAUUCCUUGUAUUAACAAUGGUGUGUCUCCAGCCUUAAUUCUGCUUUCCAGUCCUGGGGGAGGGGCACUAUAUUUUAAUUUUUUAUUGGUUGUGGUAGAGUUUCAGUAGAUGCAUAUGAAGCCCUCCCUAUAUGCUUCUUGAUCCAUUCACUCUGCAGAGAAGUACAUAUGCUUUCGUGUGUGUUUGUGUGUGUGUGCGUGUGUGUGUGUGUGUAUUGGUUGAUGAGAAGGAAAUGUCAACAGUUCAUUUCAAUUGAAGCAGCA
rnacentral:lncRNA from 1 species